rnacentral:SRP_RNA from 15 species
UGCGGCACCCUCCUGGCCCGGAAGGAAGCAGACGAAGCCGAAGCCACGCGAGCGGUUGGUGCCGGGGUCGAUCAUGACGACG